rnacentral:rRNA from 1 species
CAGUAGCCGCGGUAAUACAGAGGGUGCAAGCGUUAAUCGGAAUUACUGGGCGUAAAGCGCGCGUAGGUGGUUUGUUAAGUUGGAUGUGAAAGCCCCGGGCUCAACCUGGGAACUGCAUCCAAAACUGGCAAGCUAGAGUACGGUAGAGGGUGGUGGAAUUUCCUGUGUAGCGGUGAAAUGCGUAGAUAUAGGAAGGAACACCAGUGGCGAAGGCGACCACCUGGACUGAUACUGACACUGAGGUGCGAAAGCGUGGGGAGCAAACAGGAUUAGAGACCCCAGUAGUCCCUGUCUCUUAUAC